CUUUCAUCCUCUGCCAGGGGCCUGACGCGGGCCGGCGGAUCCCCGGCCUCAAGUAAGGGCGCUCGCCGCCCGCCCUGCCCGCGCGGCCCUGCCCGCCGCCCUACGGGAGCCCGGGGAUGUUGGCCGGGCCUCGGGCCGCCUCUGCUUCCUUUACAGCUGCUUUUUUUUUUUUUUUUUUUUUUUUUUUUUCUCUUCUCCUCCUUCCCCCCUUUUUCCCUCGGCCGGGCUGACAGAUCGGAGUGAGAGGCGCUGGCGAUGGACCGGGAGGCUCGGCUGCCGCUGCUGCUGCUCCCCCCUGGGCUCCGGCGGGAGCCUUUCCCGGUCAGGCAAGAGGGGUGAGGAUCAUAUUUUUAUUUUGGAAACUCAAAAGUGCUCCCGGGGUCGGUGAUUAUUAAGGGGAAAUCCCUGAAUAUACUCUGCAGCCAAGAAGGCAGGGCUGCCGGGGCCGCACUAGAAGAGGCGGCAGCCUCCUACAGCACCACUACAGGCACUGCGAGGACAUAACACCAGAGAGCCGCUCCUCGGCCUCCGAAACGACAACUUUCCUACCAUCUUGGAGGCCGAGCAAAGGGGGGCCGGGGGGAAAAGUGCACCCGCUCCCGAUAAAGUACACAUCUCGACUUCUCAUCUCCGGAAAACCGUCCACACCGGCCGUCUACACCGGCGCCUGGGGCGGGGGGAGCGGGGAAGACCCGGGGGUGCUUGAGAAAAACCCUUUCCUUUGCACCACCGGGGGGAGAGGGGGGAUGUUUCUGCAUCUUCUGCUGGAAAGAAAUCUUUACAAGACACAGGUUUUCCGGCAAUGGGAAUCAAGCCUAUUAAGUGUUCCAGGAAGGCAGGAUACAGCUGUUGGUCUUGCACAGUGCCCACCGAGGCAGAGAUCACGGGAGAGGUUAAAUAGGACCGAAGCAUCUCUGACCACGGUCCUGGAAAUGAUUCUGAUUCUGUGAUGGUCUACCCAGGAAGAAAG
rnacentral:lncRNA from 12 species